rnacentral:rRNA from 1 species
CAGUCGCCACGGUAAUACAGAGGGUGCGAGCGUUAAUCGGAUUUACUGGGCGUAAAGCGUGCGUAGGCGGCUUUUUAAGUCGGAUGUGAAAUCCCUGAGCUUAACUUAGGAAUUGCAUUCGAUACUGGGAAGCUAGAGUAUGGGAGAGGAUGGUAGAAUUCCAGGUGUAGCGGUGAAAUGCGUAGAGAUCUGGAGGAAUACCGAUGGCGAAGGCAGCCAUCUGGCCUAAUACUGACGCUGAGGUACGAAAGCAUGGGGAGCAAACAGGAUUAGAUACCCGAGUAGUCCCUGUCUCUUAUAA